AGAAGUUGAAACCCAAGGUGACUUAAGAGAAAAACCCAAGGUGACUUAAGAGCAAAGUGGCUGGAAAAUAAUUUCUGCAGCAUAACAUUCAAAGCUCAAAAGUGUUUCUACAAGGUAUUGGCCCUCCUAGUUAUAGAUGAGGAGCCUUUAAUUUGAUCCAUUUCCCCCCAAAACCAAUUACAUUUCGUGUAGAAGCAGCUUGCACACGAUGGAGCAGAUCCCAC
rnacentral:lncRNA from 1 species